GUCGGCCACAAAAAUGGAUUCUAAAGAGUAGUAUUUUGGCUAUAUGAUUUCAUUUUAACUUCGAAAGUAUUCCAAUUUUACAUAAAAUCCUCAAAACUACGGCCAAAAUUUUCACAAAUGGAAUAGAAGUAUUCCUUCGCUGAGUGGAAAUUAAUUUAUGGGAUUUAUUUGGUAACACGUGUGGCUAUUAUUUUAAAUUGAACGUCGCUCAUUUAUAUAAUAUAUAUAUCAUUAUCAAUUAUUGGAAAGUUGGGUUCCUUGCCAAAUCACUGCAUAUG